rnacentral:rRNA from 1 species
UACGGAGGAUCCAAGCGUUAUCCGGAUUCAUUGGGUUUAAAGGGUGCGUAGGCGGACUGACAAGUCAGCGGUGAAAUCUCUCGGCUCAACCGAGAAACUGCCGUUGAUACUGUUAGUCUUGAAUGCAGAUGAUGUGGGCGGAAUAUGACAUGUAGUGGUGAAAUACUUAGAUAUGUCAUAGAACACCGAUUGCGAAGGCAGCUCACAAAACUGUGAUUGACGCUGAUGCACGAAAGCGUGGGGAUCAAACAGG